rnacentral:rRNA from 1 species
CACGUAGGGGGCGAGCGUUGUCCGGAUUCAUUGGGCGUAAAGAGCUCGUAGGCGGCUCAGUAAGUCGGGUGUGAAACCCUCAGGCUCAACCUGGGGACGCCACUCGAUACUGCUGUGGCUAGAGUCCGGUAGAGGAGUGUGGAAUUCCCGGUGUAGCGGUGAAAUGCGUAGAGAUCUGCAAGAAUACCCGUGGCGAAGGCGGCCAGCUGGGCCGGAUCCGACGCUGAGGCGCGAAAGCGUGGGGAGCAAACGGG